AUGGAUACCUCUCCAUCUGACGAAAACCCCCUGUCGGGUUAUCGCCCUGAACGCCUGAGCAACACACACCCUUUUCCUCAGAGGUUGACUGCAAGAGAAAGGGCCAACUAUGCUCCUCAAUUAUCAAAGCUCAGAGCCUUCAUGGCGAACGGUUUGACAGGAGUUGAUCUUGCUCGUUGUUGGAUAAGCUGGAGUAUUCUGCCCUUAAGCCGGCGCUCCGGUUUGAUGUGUGAGUACACGGGAAGUUUGAAGGAUGCUCAGCGGCACAUUGACAUUCAGCUUACAGAUGCAGAAGUCACUGAAGCUGUAAAAAAGAUACUGAACGAACCGGAGGCUGUCUGA
rnacentral:rRNA from 1 species